GGAAGGGAAACAAGUCAUCAAUUACGUUAAAAACAGUGUUGCUCCCACUGCUACCAUAACAUUCCAAGAAACAUAUGUGGAUAGAGAAAGGCCAAGCCCAUUUCUUCUUGGAUACUCAUCACGAGGGCCCUCUAGAAGCUAUGCAGGAAUCGCAAAGCCAGAUAUUAUGGCUCCAGGGGCACUUAUUCUUGCAGCAGUUCCACCUAAUAUCUCUUCGGUUUCUAUUGAGAACCUACAGUUAACCACUGAUUACGAGCUUAAAUCAGGCACAUCCAUGGCU
rnacentral:misc_RNA from 1 species